GGCUGCCUCUGGCUUGCAGAAGCGCUGUGCCUUUGAUCUCGGGGAAAGAGCAGAGUUAAGUCUACCAAGUGUUUGUGUGCACGGUGCUACUGCCCCCUGGGGGAGAAGCUAGGGAUAAUCGGAGCUGGGAGCGGCAGAUGGCUCAUGCAGCUUCAGCACCAAAGAGCACUCUUUCUAUCCACCAACAAGGAAACUCGUGAGGAGGAAGUACUCCCCUGGGUUUCUAUCAUCACCACACUAAUCGAAUCAGCCUUAGGAAAAAAUGACAGCUUGGCUAACUUAGGUUGUUAUAUGGCCGUGAGCGCUAAUAAACAGAACUGUUUCCAUAUCCAUAUGCAACAUCUGUGGGAAAAUGAGAGGAUGUGUAACACGUCUAUCUGGUUUUAUAUUUAAGUUUCGGGGUUUUUUCUGUCUUCCUUUUUUCUUUUUUGUUCCAUAUAUGUAUAUAAAUACAUUCCUCAAAUUCCCUUUUUUCCCGGAUCACUCUGAAGCAGAUGCAAACACACACAUGGAGACAAAAAUGCAGCUGCGGCAAAUGGAGGUGUGCAGAUUGCCCACUUAGACUGUUAUAUUAUCUUUUUUGUGUUUACUUUCUAUUCUCUGCUCCCAUUUUCAGUCUUUCUUCUGUGCUCUCUUUGUGGCUCUGUCAGGUGUGUACGUCUAUUUCCUAUCCUCAUUGUCCUGUCUCUUGUCAUCCUUUCACCCGUCCCUCAUCUAUCCGCCAUCAUCAAGGACCCGGUGGCCUCCUACGUAGUGCCAGUGGAGAGAAGGGUCUGUAUCUCAGCAACGCACCUAGCAACAGCUCCUCGUAACUAUGGAUUAUAACCUGUUGCCAAGGGAGACAGAGAUGGAGGAUUGAUUUUGUUUUCCUUUUUUCUUUUUUUAAGGGAUAAAAUUCAAAGUGAAUUAGAUACAUGAAUAAAAAAUGCAUCAGACAAGGCACACUAACAUUUAUGAAUGGUGACAUUAUUCAUUUACAGUUUAAUCCUUGAGCUUUACCUUGAUAUAGAUCAAUAAAGAUUAGCAACAGAUGAGCAACAAAUACAUUUUUAUCAUGUAAAAUUAUUUUUGGUAGAUCUCUUGCACUAAUUGUUUAUGGACGAUGCUGUCAGUACUAUCUAUUAACAUCAUUCAUUUAUUCAUUUUAUAACAAUAUAGAUAAAUUAUGGAGCUUUGUUGACCAUAAAAUUAUUUAAUCAUCAAAUGACAAUUUAAUGUACUGUGUAUAUAUUAAAGGUGGCAAUACAUGUAUUUAAGAUAAUUUGACUAGAAUUAAAUACAGGCAUAAAUUAUACUAUUAG
ensembl:lncRNA